CAGAGGUCUCAAGCGUUGUUCGGAUUCAUUGGGCGUAAAGGGUGCGUAGGUAGCGCGGUAAGUCGGGUGUGAAAUCUCGGAGCUUAACUCCGAAAUUGCAUUCGAUACUGCCGUGCUCGAGGACUGGAGAGGAGACUGGAAUUCAUGGUGUAGCAGUGAAAUGCGUAGAGAUCAUGAGGAAGACCAGUGGCGAAGGCGGGUCUCUGGACAGUUCCUGACACUGAGGCACGAAGGCCAGGGGAGCAAACGGUAUUAGAUACCCCGGUAGUCCUGGCAGUAAACGGUGCACGUUUGGUGUGGGAGGAUUCGACCCCUUCCGCGCCGGAGCUAACGCGUUAAACGUGCCGCCUGGGGAGUACGGUCGCAAGAUUA
rnacentral:rRNA from 1 species